rnacentral:rRNA from 1 species
GAGUUUGAUCAUGGCUCAGGAUGAACGCUGGCGGCGUGCCUAAUACAUGCAAGUCGAACGAAACUUCUUUAUCACCGAGUGCUUGCACUCACCGAUAAAGAGUUGAGUGGCGAACGGGUGAGUAACACGUGGGCAACCUGCCCAAAAGAGGGGGAUAACACUUGGAAACAGGUGCUAAUACCGCAUAACCAUAGUUACCGCAUGGUAACUAUGUAAAAGGUGGCUAUGCUACCGCUUUUGGAUGGGCCCGCGGCGCAUUAGCUAGUUGGUGGGGUAAAGGCUUACCAAGGCAAUGAUGCGUAGCCGAACUGAGAGGUUGAUCGGCCACAUUGGGACUGAGACACGGCCCAAACUCCUACGGGAGGCAGCAGUAGGGAAUCUUCCACAAUGGGCGAAAGCCUGAUGGAGCAACGCCGCGUGGGUGAAGAAGGUCUUCGGAUCGUAAAACCCUGUUGUUAGAGAAGAAAGUGCGUGAGAGUAACUGUUCACGUUUCGACGGUAUCUAACCAGAAAGCCACGGCUAACUACGUGCCAGCAGCCGCGGUAAUACGUAGGUGGCAAGCGUUAUCCGGAUUUAUUGGGCGUAAAGGGAACGCAGGCGGUCUUUUAAGUCUGAUGUGAAAGCCUUCGGCUUAACCGGAGUAGUGCAUUGGAAACUGGGAGACUUGAGUGCAGAAGAGGAGAGUGGAACUCCAUGUGUAGCGGUGAAAUGCGUAGAUAUAUGGAAGAACACCAGUGGCGAAAGCGGCUCUCUGGUCUGUAACUGACGCUGAGGUUCGAAAGCGUGGGUAGCAAACAGGAUUAGAUACCCUGGUAGUCCACGCCGUAAACGAUGAAUGCUAAGUGUUGGAGGGUUUCCGCCCUUCAGUGCUGCAGCUAACGCAAUAAGCAUUCCGCCUGGGGAGUACGCCCGCAAGGUUGAAACUCAAAAGAAAUUGACGGGGGGCCCGCCCAAGCGGGUGGAGCAUGUGGUUUAAUUCGAAAGCAACGCGAAAGACCCUUACCAGGUCUUGACAUCUUUUGACAAUCCUAGAGAUAGGACUUUCCCUUCGGGGACAAAAUGACAGGUGGUGCAUGGUUGUCGUCAGCUCGUGUCGUGAGAUGUUGGGUUAAGUCCCGCAACGAGCGCAACCCUUAUUGUUAGUUGCCAGCAUUAAGUUGGGCACUCUAGCAAGACUGCCGGUGACAAACCGGAGGAAGGUGGGGAUGACGUCAAAUCAUCAUGCCCCUUAUGACCUGGGCUACACACGUGCUACAAUGGACGGUACAACGAGUCGCAAGACCGCGAGGUUUAGCAAAUCUCUUAAAGCCGUUCUCAGUUCGGAUUGUAGGCUGCAACUCGCCUACAUGAAGUCGGAAUCGCUAGUAAUCGCGGAUCAGCAUGCCGCGGUGAAUACGUUCCCGGGCCUUGUACACACCGCCCGUCACACCAUGAGAGUUUGUAACACCCAAAGCCGGUGGGGUAACCUUUUGGAGCCAGCCGUCUAAGGUGGGAUAGAUGAUUAGGGUGAAGUCGUAACAAGGUAUCC